rnacentral:rRNA from 1 species
UACGGAGGAUCCAAGCGUUAUCCGGAAUCAUUGGGUUUAAAGGGUCCGUAGGCGGCCCUGUAAGUCAGUGGUGAAAUCUCCCGGCUCAACCGGGAAAUUGCCAUUGAUACUGCAGGGCUUGAAUUACUGGGAAGUAACUAGAAUAUGUAGUGUAGCGGUGAAAUGCUUAGAGAUUACAUGGAAUACCAAUUGCGAAGGCAGGUUACUACCAGUGGAUUGACGCUGAUGGACGGAAGCGUGGGUAGCGAACAGG